ACUGCGCGCUGAAGAACGGAUGCAGUGUUUUCAAUGGAUAAGACGAUUAUGUGUCCGAUGCACAAGCCUAAGGUGGGAGAUGAGAAUCAGCUGAUGAACGUUGCAGUCUUCCGCCGUGUCUACAUCAAUCGCGACGAGAAUCGCCAGAUCGCCAGCAUGAUGCAGCAGGGCUACAUGCACUACUGCCUGCGCGUCGGCAGUCUAGUCUUUCAGAACGUCGGCCAGGUGCUGCCUCACCAG